rnacentral:rRNA from 1 species
AGUAUAAUAGUUAACUUUGAAACUGCGAAUGGCUCAUUAUAUCAGUUAUAGUUUAUUUGAUGAAGUAUACUAAUUGGAUAACCGUAGUAAUUCUAGAGCUAAUACAUGUAUGAAGUCUUGUAGACUGCAUUUAUUAGAAUGAAAACCAUAGGUUUCGGCCUAUUCGUGAGUAAUAAUAACUAAUCAUAUCGUAUGCUUAUGUAACGAUGUGUCUUUCAAGUUUCUGCCCUAUCAGCUUUCGAUGGUAGUGUAUUGGACUACCAUG